rnacentral:rRNA from 1 species
UACGGAAGGCAGCAGUGGGGAAUAUUGCACAAUGGGCGAAAGCCUGAUGCAGCUAUGCCGCGUGUAUGAAGAAGGCCUUAGGGUUGUAAAGUACUUUCAUCGGGGAGGAAAAAACAAAACUAAUAAUUUUAUUUCUUGACGUUACCCGAAAAAGAAGCACCGGCCAACUCCGUGCCAGCAGCCGCGGUAAUACGGAGGGUGCUAGCGUUAAUCAGAAUUACUGGGCGUAAAGAGCACGUAGGUGGUUUUUUUAAGUCAGAUGUGAAAUCCCUGGGCUUAACCUAGGAACUGCAUUUUGAAACUGAAAUACUAGAGUAUCGUAGAGGGAGGUAGAAUUCUAGGUGUAGCGGUGAAAUGCGUAGAUAUCUGGAGGAAUACCUGUGGCGAAAGCGGCCUCCUAAACGAAUACUGACACUGAGGGUGCGAAAGCGUGGGGAGCAAACAGGGAUUAGAUACC